rnacentral:rRNA from 1 species
UACGUAGGGUGCGAGCGUUAAUCGGAAUUACUGGGCGUAAAGCGUGCGCAGGCGGUUUGUUAAGACAGAUGUGAAAUCCCCGGGCUUAACCUGGGACUGCGUUUGUUACUGGCAAGCUAGAGUGUGUCAGAGGGAGGUAGAAUUCCACGUGUAGCAGUGAAAUGCGUAGAUAUGUGGAGGAAUACCGAUGGCGAAGGCAGCCUCCUGGGAUAACACUGACGCU